rnacentral:tRNA from 34 species
GGAGGGGUGGCCGAGUGGCUUAAGGCAGCGGUCUUGAAAACCGCCGAUGGGAAACCAUCCGAGAGUUCGAAUCUCUCCUCCUCCGCCA